UCUUCCCCCAUUUGGAAAUAAGCUUUCAAUGCUAUAAUGUGCCUUUACAUCUAAAUUGCGCAGUUCUAUAGCAACCCGUGUAGUAUCAGCAUCAGAAUGGGAUCUAAAGAAAACAAAAUGUCAGAGCAGCUGGCUUUGGCUGCAGCCUCUCUCCCUUGGCCACCUGGAGCCUCGGCUCCUUGCGCUGCAGCCAGCCGGAGACAGGAGGCUUCCCUCCUGGCCUGGAAAUCCUCUGGUCAGAUUUUUCGUAGGGGGGAAGUGGGUGGUGAGUGUUGUGGAGAGCCGGGACAUUGUUAAGAAGGUGCCUUACACAUAAGGCUCAAUAAAUACCACCCAAAUUGGAUGGAAUUAAAUUAGCAGCAGCUGUCCUUCUGCUUUUCCUGCAGAAAAGCUACAAUUAUGCAGAACGGCCUCCUGGGCACAGGCUAGAUAGAGAGGCAUCCUAGGAAAGGAAAAGCUAAAAAAAAUGCUUCGGGUUCAGCUCCUGCCUCAGCCCAGGCUUGACUUCUCAAGGUGUAUGGGGUUUGAUCUUCAAAUUGGGCAGGUGCGGUAAAGAGGCUGCAGACCACGUCCAGCCCCAGAGAAUUUCUAAGCAAAAACUCUUUUUGGUACUGUAUGGAUAUGCAACAAUUCACAAUUUUUAUUUUUUCUUCCUGUCUUUAUUAUUGUUACCCUCUUUAGAACUCUUACAUAUUCCUUUAGAGCAAUGACCCUUAUUUCCAAAGCUCUCUCAUCACCAUCCCUAAUUCUUAGCUCACCCAGGGUCUUCCCCACUGUUUGUGCCUGCUACAAAUGGAAGCAGGAGGAGGAGGAGGAAAAGAGGGAGGUGGGGAGGAGGAGGAGGAGGCAGAGAGGAAGGUGAGGAGGAGGAGGGGCUUCUGUUUCCUUCUGCCCGCCUCUCCCCAGCACCCUGAAAGCAUCUAUAUUCUCAGUGUUCCAGAGAUGGCAGGAGAAAAGCAGCAUGGUUCAGCCAUUUCACACCAAUAUGUGAACUGCUUAAAUAGUCUCUUAACUUUCCCAGAGAGAUUUUGCAUUUUAGAAGAGGCCCUUUCACAGCGAAUGAAAUCUAAUGGAAGGAGUUUCUUUUGAAGGCAUCCAGAAGUAGGAAGAUGGAGCUGGAAUUCUGGAGGGCCGCAUCCUCUCCCCUCUGCCCCAGACGCACCAUGCCUUUCCUCCCAAACACAUGUGCUUGGCGUACUUCAUAAGAAAACACACUGGAAGAAAGGGAAGUGACUCUUCGUGGCUUGGUCUGCCCCCCACUUCCUGGAACUCUUGUAUGCUAGUACUGGUAGCAGACAGAUAGAUGCAUGCUGGGCCUCUAACAGAGCACCUGCGACUUGGGCCUGCUAGAUGCUAUCAGGCUAGGUUAUGGCUACUGUGUCUUAGUAAAUUUGAAGACGGCCCUUUCAUGUUACUCUGUGUAAUUAGGAGCUCUGAUUUUGCUCUUCCCGUGAAUCCUGUUUAAUUACCUAUUUGAGUGGUGACAUAGUGAGCCCCCUUCACUCCACCUCCUGAAGGCAGCUCCAGGCAAGACAGGAGCUGGGUACAAUUUGACUGUGGCACUUUCCAGUGUUGGCUCUGUUCACUGUCCGCUCUUCAGUCAGCCCCUCCUCUUGUUUAUUCAGAGACCCCUCCCUGACUCUCAGAGCAAGGCUGGCCUGGCCUGUGUCCCAUCUUCACAGUACAUCUGUGUUUUAAACAGUGGCCAAAGCCAGCACUGGGGCACAAGUUCUUCAGGUGAAGAAGUAGUUGUAUUAGAACUUUUUUUUGACAGGCAGAGAGUGAGAGUGAGACAGAGAGACAGUUAUAGACAGUGAGAGAGAGAUGGAGAGAAAGGUCUUCCUUCCAUUGGUUCACUCCCCUAAUGGCCGCCAUGGCCGGCUCUGCGCCGAUCCAAAGCCAGGAGCCUGGUGCUUCCUCCCGAUCUCCCAUGCGAGUGUAGGGACCCAAGCACUUGGGCCAUCCUCCACUGCCCUCCCAGGCCACAGCAGAGAGCUGGACUGGAAGAGAAGCAACCGGGACUAGUACCCGGCACCCCAACUGGGACUAGAACCCGGUGUGCCAGCGCUGCAGGCGGAGGAUUAGCCAAGUGAGCCACAGCGCCAGCCUAAAACUUUUUUAGUGAUAGCAAGAGCCCAGCAAAUACAGUAACUGCCUUCCCAACUCCCCACCAGCCUCUUAGUAAACUUGGCCUUGGGAAAUGUCAAAUGUUUCUCCCCUCUUUCUACCUUCCCUUCUACCUCAGCAUCUUGCCGCCUUCAUGUGGACAAUUAAUCAAUAGCAACAGCCUAGCAUGAAGGCAAAAGCUGUGUGUUUGUGGUCUCAGCGCCUGGAGAGGACACAGCAUGUUACGACUGCAAGCUCUGCCUCUGCUCGAUCCGUGGCUCUGCUGCUGGGUUAAAUGUUAACCUGCGGAAAGAGGGACAGUUAGCCGUAGGGAGAGGAGCAGGAAGAAGGAAACAGGAGCACACGCUGCCACGUGGAGGACCUGUUCUCACCGUCCUCGGACCAGGACUGCCGAGGAGCACUGCUCCAUCCAGCCACAUUUGCUUUUCCUUCCAGGUGGGAAAGAUGGAGAAGUUCAACCUCGCCGUUUCAGCGGGGAAGCUGGAUUCCAGGGUG